UACGUAGGGGGCAAGCGUUGUCCGGAUUUAUUGGGCGUAAAGAGCGUGUAGGCGGCCAAGCAGGUCAGCUGUGAAAACUCGAGGCUCAACCUCGAGACGUCGGUUGAAACCGUUUGGCUAGAGUCCGGAAGAGGAGAGUGGAAUUCCCGGUGUAGCGGUGAAAUGCGUAGAGAUUAGGAAGAACACCAGUGGCGAAGGCGACUUACUGGACUGUAACUGACGCUGAGGCAUGAAAGCGUGGGGAGCAAACAGG
rnacentral:rRNA from 1 species